UCCCUGGUGGUCCAGUGGUUAAGAUUCUGUGCUCCCCAUGCAGAGGGCACAGGUUCGAUCCCUGGCUGGGGAA
rnacentral:tRNA from 1 species